CCAAUCAUCAUGUUUUCUGUUAUAUUCAUGUCUCUGUGGCUUUCAUUAGGUGACUCCAUGGCAGAUUCAGUAGAGUCACUUGAUGCUCAUAAAGUUGUAGAUGAAGGUGAAAAUGUUACUCUGUCCUGCAAAUACACAGUCAGCUCACAAGGAAACAACUUGUUCUGGUACAGACAACAUCCAAAAUCUAAUCCUAGCCUCCUUAUUAACAUUUUGCAAAGUGGAACUCUAGUGUCUGAACUCCCACCAAGAAUGGAUGCUAAAGUUGAUGAUGGUAACAAGAAACAAGUGGAUCUGAUCAUCUCCUCUGCUGCUGUAUCAGACUCUGAUCUAUACUACUGUGCUCUGCAGCCCACAGUGACAGGAAAUCCAGCUGCACUGUACAAAAACCUUCACAUUGUUAUAUUACACUGAACACUGCCAACA